UGAGUCCUUGUGUUUUUCCCUCAGCGGCUCUUCAGCUUUGGGAAAGCAGGUUAAAUUUUGACCGGUCUCAUUUUAAAAGCUGGAUCCAGUUCAAACACAGGGUGCAGCAGCGUUCUCCUCUGACACUGAUAAAGCUGAGCGUCCUGCUUGGUCACCUCUCCCCAGCUGGCUGCCAGCCCAGCCGAUGGACAGCUGCUGUGAGAGGACUCCUGUGUGUUGGGAAAAACAUGCUGUUAAGGAGCACCCCAGAUGUUCCCUGCCUUUGUCGCUCCCCUCGAGAAGGUCCCAUCGACAGGACACGCCUGACUAGACCCCGAUCCUUGUUUAGCCCGUCACUACCAACCCAUUCCGAUUGCCCGACAUGUGCCUGAAUCACGGAUUUCGAUUGGCGCCUCUGCCCAUCGUCGACCGACCCCGAUCAGCAAGCCCCCGCCCCGAUCACCUUCAUUCUCCUUCAAAAGCUCCGUCAACUGUCAUACCGGUUGUGUGAAGCAUUUGGAAAUAAAGGUCACGCUUACCUUA